AUACAGACGGGCAUCGGCAAGCCGAGCCGUUCGGACGAAGAACACACCCCCACUGGGGGAAAGGGCACCACCAACGAGCCGUUUGACGGCGGCGCGUUCACCCUAGAGGUGCUCGCGCACGCCAGCAAAUGGGUCAGCGGGGGUGCCGCAUCUGGAAACCGCCGUCGCUCAUGCAAAGGGGAGCAGAGGAGUCUCUCUCGCGCUGGGGUACUGGUGGAUAGAAAGAAGAGAGGGAAGGGGAACGGCUCGCUCGGCGCAAUGGCACUCGCCGCCGUCCACGGCGGCCGGAGCGGCCCAUCAGGGCGCUGCCCUUUUUUCCUCGACAGAGACGGCGCCGACGGGACAGAAGAAGAGAAAGAAGAAGGGAAACAGGAAAGAAAGAGACAGAGAAGGAGCUAG
rnacentral:rRNA from 1 species